AAGCGAGUCUGAAUAGGGCGUUUAGUAUUUGGUCGUAGACCCGAAACCAGGUGAUCUACCCUUGGUCAGGUUGAAGUUCAGGUAACACUGAAUGGAGGACCGAACCGACUUACGUUGAAAAGUGAGCGGAUGAACUGAGGGUAGCGGAGAAAUUCCAAUCGAACCUGGAGAUAGCUGGUUCUCUCCGAAAUAGCUUUAGGGCUAGCCUCAAGUGAUGAUUAUUGGAGGUAGAGCACUGUUUGGACGAGGGGCCCCUCUCGGGUUACCGAAUUCAGACAAACUCCGAAUGCCAAUUAAUUUAACUUGGGAGUCAGAACAUGGGUGAUAAGGUCCGUGUUCGAAAGGGAAACAGCCCAGACCACCAGCUAAGGUCCCAAAAUAUAUGUUAAGUGGAAAAGGAUGUGGCGUUGCCCAGACAACUAGGAUGUUGGCUUAGAAGCAGCCAUCAUUUAAAGAGUGCGUAAUAGCUCACUAGUCGAGUGACACUGCGCCGAAAAUGUACCGGGGCUAAACAUAUUACCGAAGCUGUGGAUUGUCCUUUGGACAAUGGUAGGAGAGCGUUCUAAGGGCGUUGAAGCAUGAUCGUAAGGACAUGUGGAGCGCUUAGAAGUGAGAAUGCCGGUGUGAGUAGCGAAAGACGGGUGAGAAUCCCGUCCACCGAUUGACUAAGGUUUCCAGAGGAAGGCUCGUCCGCUCUGGGUUAGUCGGGUCCUAAGCUGAGGCCGACAGGCGUAGGCGAUGGAUAACAGGUUGAUAUUCCUGUACCACCUAUAAUCGUUUUAAUCGAUGGGGGGACGCAGUAGNNNNNNNNNNNNNAUAGGCGAAGCGUGCGAUUGGAUUGCACGUCUAAGCAGUAAGGCUGAGUAUUAGGCAAAUCCGGUACUCGUUAAGGCUGAGCUGUGAUGGGGAGAAGACAUUGUGUCUUCGAGUCGUUGAUUUCACACUGCCGAGAAAAGCCUCUAGAUAGAAAAUAGGUGCCCGUACCGCAAACCGACACAGGUAGUCAAGAUGAGAAUUCUAAGGUGAGCGAGCGAACUCUCGUUAAGGAACUCGGCAAAAUGACCCCGUAACUUCGGGAGAAGGGGUGCUCUUUAGGGUUAACGCCCAGAAGAGCCGCAGUGAAUAGGCCCAAGCGACUGUUUAUCAAAAACACAGGUCUCUGCUAAACCGUAAGGUGAUGUAUAGGGGCUGACGCCUGCCCGGUGCUGGAAGGUUAAGAGGAGUGGUUAGCUUCUGCGAAGCUACGAAUCGAAGCCCCAGUAAACGGCGGCCGUAACUAUAACGGUCCUAAGGUAGCGAAAUUCCUUGUCGGGUAAGUUCCGACCCGCACGAAAGGCGUAACGAUUUGGGCACUGUCUCAACGAGAGACUCGGUGAAAUCAUAGUACCUGUGAAGAUGCAGGUUACCCGCGACAGGACGGAAAGACCCCGUGGAGCUUUACUGUAGCCUGAUAUUGAAAUUCGGCACAGCUUGUACAGGAUAGGUAGGAGCCUUUGAAACGUGAGCGCUAGCUUACGUGGAGGCGCUGGUGGGAUACUACCCUAGCUGUGUUGGCUUUCUAACCCGCACCACUUAUCGUGGUGGGAGACAGUGUCAGGCGGGCAGUUUGACUGGGGCGGUCGCCUCCUAAAAGGUAACGGAGGCGCUCAAAGGUUCCCUCAGAAUGGUUGGAAAUCAUUCAUAGAGUGUAAAGGCAUAAGGGAGCUUGACUGCGAGACCUACAAGUCGAGCAGGGUCGAAAGACGGACUUAGUGAUCCGGUGGUUCCGCAUGGAAGGGCCAUCGCUCAACGGAUAAAAGCUACCCCGGGGAUAACAGGCUUAUCUCCCCCAAGAGUUCACAUCGACGGGGAGGUUUGGCACCUCGAUGUCGGCUCAUCGCAUCCUGGGGCUGUAGUCGGUCCCAAGGGUUGGGCUGUUCGCCCAUUAAAGCGGUACGCGAGCUGGGUUCAGAACGUCGUGAGACAGUUCGGUCCCUAUCCGUCGUGGGCGUAGGAAAUUUGAGAGGAGCUGUCCUUAGUACGAGAGGACCGGGAUGGACAUACCUCUGGUGUACCAGUUGUCGUGCCAACGGCAUAGCUGGGUAGCUAUGUGUGGACGGGAUAAGUGCUGAAAGCAUCUAAGCAUGAAGCCCCCCUCAAGAUGAGAUUUCCCAACUUCGGUUAUAAGAUCCCUCAAAGAUGAUGAGGUUAAUAGGUUCGAGGUGGAAGCAUGGUGACAUGUGGAGCUGACGAAUACUAAUCGAUCGAAGACUUAAUCAA
rnacentral:rRNA from 1 species